CUGGCUCAGGAUGAACGCUAGCGACAGGCUUAACACAUGCAAGUCGAGGGGCAGCACAGGUAGCAAUACCGGGUGGCGACCGGCGCACGGGUGAGUAACGCGUAUGCAACUUACCUAUCAGAGGGGGAUAACCCGGCGAAAGUCGGACUAAUACCGCAUGAAGCAGGGGCCCCGCAUGGGGAUAUUUGCUAAAGAUUCAUCGCUGAUAGAUAGGCAUGCGUUCCAUUAGGCAGUUGGCGGGGUAACGGCCCACCAAACCGACGAUGGAUAGGGGUUCUGAGAGGAAGGUCCCCCACAUUGGUACUGAGACACGGACCAAACUCCUACGGGAGGCAGCAGUGAGGAAUAUUGGUCAAUGGGCGUAAGCCUGAACCAGCCAAGUCGCGUGAGGGAUGAAGGUUCUAUGGAUCGUAAACCUCUUUUAUAAGGGAAUAAAGUGCGGGACGUGUCCUGUUUUGUAUGUACCUUAUGAAUAAGGAUCGGCUAACUCCGUGCCAGCAGCCGCGGUAAUACGGAGGAUCCGAGCGUUAUCCGGAUUUAUUGGGUUUAAAGGGUGCGUAGGCGGCCUUUUAAGUCAGCGGUGAAAGUCUGUGGCUCAACCAUAGAAUUGCCGUUGAAACUGGGGGGCUUGAGUAUGUUUGAGGCAGGCGGAAUGCGUGGUGUAGCGGUGAAAUGCUUAGAUAUCACGCAGAACCCCGAUUGCGAAGGCAGCCUGCCAAGCCAUGACUGACGCUGAUGCACGAAAGCGUGGGGAUCAAACAGGAUUAGAUACCCUGGUAGUCCACGCAGUAAACGAUGAUCACUAGCUGUUUGCGAUACAGUGUAAGCGGCACAGCGAAAGCGUUAAGUGAUCCACCUGGGGAGUACGCCGGCAACGGUGAAACUCAAAGGAAUUGACGGGGGCCC
rnacentral:rRNA from 1 species